UACGGGAGGGCGAGCAGUGGGGGAAUAUUGCACAAUGGGCGAAAGCCUGAUGCAGCUAUGCCGCGUGUAUGAAGAAGGCCUUAGGGUUGUAAAGUACUUUCAUCGGGGAGGAAAAACAAAACUAAUAAUUUUAUUUCUUGACGUUACCCGAAAAAGAAGCACCGGCUAACUCCGUGCCAGCAGCCGCGGUAAUACGGAGGGUGCUAGCGUUAAUCAGAAUUACUGGGCGUAAAGAGCACGUAGGUGGUUUUUUUAAGUCAGAUGUGAAAUCCCUGGGCUUAACCUAGGAACUGCAUUUUGAAACUGAAAUACUAGAGUAUCGUAGAGGGAGGUAGAAUUCUAGGUGUAGCGGUGAAAUGCGUAGAUAUCUGGAGGAAUACCUGUGGCGAAAGCGGCCUCCUAAACGAAUACUGACACUGAGGGUGC
rnacentral:rRNA from 1 species